CAUUAGCUUGACCCGGUAAAGCCCAAACACCCAUCAGUAGGUGUUGAUCCUCUUUGCUUGAUAUUCUUUUCUUUUUCUUCUUCCUGCUGAAUUUCUUCAGAAAAUUGAGAACACCAUGCACCUGUUUCCAUAUAUCAAUCAUAGGAACUUUAAUCUCCAAUUUCUUGAAGAUUUCAAUAAAGCACUUAAACUUCUUUUCUGAUCCUAUGAUAUUUCUUUUGACGAGGAAGAGGUUUUGCAUAUGAUCUUUUCUUCUUUCCUCUCUUCCUCUUUUUCUUAAUCUUCUCCUCCCUCAACUUUCUCUUUUUAUCUUUUCUUCUUUAUUUUCGCAUAUUUUUUCUUUUUCUCUUUUUUCUCAACCACUGCUUUUUCUCCCUCAUCAUCAUUAUCUUCCUCAACCAACUUUUCUGUUUCUAUUUCCUCUAUCUUUUCCUCAUCUAUCUCUAUCUCUUUUUCCUCUAUCUUCUCCUCCUUUCUCUCCAUGUUUUUCUCCUCUAUCUUCUCCUUAUUUAUCUCUUUCCUUUCUUCCUCUAUCUUCU
rnacentral:lncRNA from 1 species